rnacentral:rRNA from 1 species
GAUGAACGCUGGCGGCGUGCCUAAUACAUGCAAGUCGAGCGAACGGACGAGAAGCUUGCUUUUCUGAUGUUAGCGGCGGACGGGUGAGUAACACGUGGAUAACCUACCUAUAAGACUGGGAUAACUUCGGGAAACCGGAGCUAAUACCGGAUAAUAUUUUGAACCGCAUGGUUCAAAAGUGAAGGACGGUCUUGCUGUCACUUAUAGAUGGAUCCGCGCUGCAUUAGCUAGUUGGUAAGGUAACGGCUUACCAAGGCAACGAUGCAUAGCCGACCUGAGAGGGUGAUCGGCCACACUGGAACUGAGACACGGUCCAGACUCCUACGGGAGGCAGCAGUAGGGAAUCUUCCGCAAUGGGCGAAAGCCUGACGGAGCAACGCCGCGUGAGUGAUGAAGGUCUUCGGAUCGUAAAACUCUGUUAUUAGGGAAGAACAUAUGUGUAAGUAACUGUGCACAUCUUGACGGUACCUAAUCAGAAAACCACGGCUAACUACGU